GGCAUCAGAACCUAGACGCCCCAGGUCACCGUGAGCAGCCUGGGGAGUUCUCAGGAAACCAGCCGAGGGGCGCAGAGGCGGGCUGGCUGGGGUAGGGGCAGGCUCCGGUGUGAAGCCCUGGCUACACCCAGCGAUGGCCCGGGCCGCGGGGAGGCGGCAGUGCUAUCGCUCCUCUGCAGGCUUCCGCAGCUCCCUUCCCCUCCCAGAGCGGCUGUGACUCACUCCAGCCCCCCUUGCUGCCUUUCACUUUCACCCAGCACCCAGAAGGGGAGGAACUUCCUCCUCCAUUUCCUUCCCCAGCUCCCGGCCCUCCUCUUUAUAAAGCAGCAUGAAGCCAAAGCAUGAAGCACUGUUAUUUAAACUCUAUUUUACAGGAGCCUCGCUGCUGCAACCUGUCCCUGACCACACCACAGACAGCCCUGGGCAGAAGACACAGCCAGCAUCUGAACUCAACAGCCAGGGACGUCUGGGGCUUUCAGGAGGACCUACAGUGAGAAACACUUUCUCUCUACAGAGGAAAGCAGUGUGCACGAAGAAAAGAAAACAGCGCUGAACCUACAUGUGUUCUGCAGACACGUGACGGAAGGUGCCCAAAAGUCUCUUGGGUGUUCUGCGCUGGUGGUGACACCAUGCCCUCCAAGGACGGCAACUCGAACACACACUGCUCCCCACGUGCCAUCAGCGGCCCAGCUGCAUGUGGA
ensembl:lncRNA